CCUAACUGUUUAAAAAUAGUCCUAUGCAAAUAUUUGUAAUAGAAAGUGAAACUUGCCAGUGAAGCUUCUAUUUAUUGCAGUGUGGGAGGAAUCCCCACAUGAGGCAGGUCAGUGUACAAAGGGGAGAAAAAGGAAAGAGUGGUGAACAAGGCUGAUGGAUGUUAGGGAGGAAAUUGAUAAGAUCAGAUGUGUUUGGAGUUUGUUGUUCAAACCUCCAGGUGUAAAUAUUCAUUUCUGUGUCAGAGGUGCACACGCUCAAAGUUGCUCCUGCUGGUUCUGCUGCCAGAUUGUGGGAGGAGGGGGGCGAGAAACAUGCGGGAGCAAGGAUCUUUCCAUAGACCAUCUCGGAAGCUCCCUCUUCUAUGGUUCUGGUCAUACCGGGCCACCAGCUUGCUAAAAAAUGAUGUAAAUUGUGAUACAGGCAGUAAAGAUUGAGAUCCUCACCUUACUAGAGAGGGUUAUGGCUUAGAGGUCCAAGCAUAAGGUUUGAAAGACUCUCUUGGACCAUGUCUUCAAACCCUAAGGAUAAGGUCAAGCCAACCUUUCAACUUCUCAAGGCUCUUCCACUUCUGCUGGGCAGAAAUAAGGAACCAGAAGACUGGAAGAGCAGCCACUCAGCCUACGAGGGAGAAGGAAAAAAUCAGAGAUGAAAUGCUGCAGGGCAUUUUGGUCAAGGUGGACAAACAGCCGGAGUUCCAGAGAGGAGGUUAUAGAGGGAGAAGGAAGCAACCCAGCAUGAGGCGAGAAUGGCUGCUCAGUUCCGGGGGCAUGACCAGAAGUUGAGGGGGAGGAGGACAGAGCAUGAGGAAGGAACUUUUUGAGAGGUUUCUUGUUCUCAUGGACACCAGGCUACAGGCCCCAGUGCCUGCUCCACUGCCAGCUGACAUUCCAGCUACUGUCUCAGACCCAUGCUCUGAGUCCCCACCACACAACCAUGUCCUGCAGUGCCGGAUAAUUCUGAGGUUGGCUGGCCUAUCAUCCAAGUAAUGAACAGUGCAUAGAACAGUCAGAUGCACCCAGGGCAACACUCCACCCCUGUGAACUUACAUGUGCAAAAUGUUCUAGAGGGGGCAAGAAGAACAGGCACACAGGGGACAUACAGAUCCGUUACCAGACAGACUAGUAGUUGCUCUAUGUGUAGAUUGGCAAUUUUGCACUUUUGUUGCUUCAGUUGUUCUGCUUUUUUUGUUUUAUUGUAUUUAGCUUCUUGCUGGCAGCUGGUCUGCUUAUAAGGUGAUUUAAUUGUCAUUUAAAUAAGUCUCAGUGUCUUGUUUGCAAACAAGAACAAGCUGUAUUUAAUUCAUAGGCUGUUGUGGCCCCAGAAAGUGUGGGACAAUUAUACCACUUCGUUUCCCUCUUAUCCAUAUCACCCUGCAAACCCAUCAUGUGAGCCCAGUAGGGAUCCCUGAUUUUCCUUGCAUGUGGGAUCCUGCCCCAGAACUAAUAGGAACAUUUUCUGGUUGCAUGUUCCUCCAGUUCAGAAG